rnacentral:lncRNA from 1 species
AUGCAGUACUGUUUUUUGGGAAAAACCCACACGAGUCUCUGCGACACGUGGCAGCGAGCUCCACCACUUGGGGUGCCAGACUGUGCCCUUGUUUGUCCUGAAGGCCAAGGGGCAGCGGGUGGUGGAGAGCCAGUGAAGUCUUCUGUUCUUCGGCUGUUUGCCCCUCUGGGGAGAGCAGCAAGUGAGAACUUGUGUCUCAACCCUUGAAGCUUGCCGCUGGGCUUGUGUUGCCACUGAUGCCAGGACAGUGGCUAACGGUCAACAGCUUUGUUUGCAACAGCUUCCAAUCUGUGGAUGUCCCUCCUGACCAGCCAGCUUGCAAGAUUACUAUGUGACAGCAAUGACCCUGUGUGAAGUUUCUUUGAAGGACCUGGGAGUCUGUGUGGUUUUCUCAUGUCCCUUGGAG